GAUGAACGCUGGCGGCGUGCUUAAUACAUGCAAGUCGAACGAACAGACGAGGUUCUUGCGCCUCUCACGUUAGCGACGGGCGGGUGAGUAACACGUGGAUAGCCUACCUAUAAGACUGGGAUUACUUCGAGAAACCGGAGCUAAUACCAGAUGAUAUAUUUAACCGCAUGGUUCAGUAGUGAAUGACGGUUUUGCUGUCGAUUAUAGAUGGAUCCGCGCCGCAGUGGCUAGGUGGUAAGGUAACGGCUUGCCAAGGCAACGGUGCGUAGCCGAGGUGAGAGGGUGAUCGCCCACACUGGAACUGAGCCACGGUCCAGACUCCUACGGGCGGCAGCAGUAGGGACUCUUCCGCGCAGGGCGGAAGCCUGACGGAGCAACGCCGCGUGAGUGAUGAAGGUCUUCGGAUCGUAAAACGCUGUUAUUAGUGAAGAACAAAUGUGUAAGUAACUAUGCACGUCUUGACGGUAGCUAAUCAGAAAGCCACGGCUAACUACGUG
rnacentral:rRNA from 1 species